ACACAUACCUGGCAGGAGAGCUACCAAGAUCAGGAAGGUGUUUUCCCAAGGGAAGCUCCUCAUGCUGACUCUCAUGAUUUCCCCAAGUGUAGGACACUGGACUGCAUAAUCUGUGUAGUGGGAGACAGUAUUUAUGCUCUCCCCUG
ensembl:snRNA U1 U1 spliceosomal RNA